CUUGAUAGGUAGGACGUUUUGUCAGAACAACGGUCCGCGUGUCAGGUGAACUGAACUUCAGGAAGACAGGGUCUGCCAAUGUUUGCUGCCACAUCUGGAGGGGGAAAGCAUCCUCGGGUAAUCCUGCAGCAACAGGUCCAUCACGUUGUUUGAGGAGAGACUGUAGCAUUCGACUGUGGACCCUCUGAGUCUCCUUAAUGUCUUCCAGGAGGGUCAGAACAUGUCCAACAUGCUGGUCCUGGUGGCUUGUACAAGUCAUCUCAGAACUGGCUGUGAAAGCACGGCUGAACAAAUGGAUGAGUGAUGCUCAGGUAGGGAGUUUCCCUUUAAUGUCUACUCUCCAUUGCUGAUGGUGGUGAGGUCUCUGCCCCAACACACACACACACACACACACACACACACACACACAUUGGCUUAGUGCUCCAAGCUAAAAACAUGAAUGUAAAGCCUGCAUCCAAAAAGACUUUUAAACUGAGUUUUAAAAGUUAAAGUUGAAAAAAGUUUAAACAUUUAAAACAUUUUUAAAAGUCAGAAAGUUAAAGUUGCUAUUUUAAGAUUAUAUCUGACCUUGGUGAGCAACAAUGGUCUGCCUCAGAUAGUUUGUUUUUGUUAAUUAUAAUCUCCAUAAUAAACUGUUGCUUUAAAGGUGUUUUCCUUUUCCGUUUCCUUUUUCCCAAACUGUUUACAGACUCAGUCUGCAGAUCAGAGGUUGUUCGGACCUCGGGGGUUUCACGCUGGCGCUUUCAUAGUUUUCUCCAAAUGUUUGACAUACAGACAUGAACAUAUUGUUGUUAGGGGAAUUACAGCAAAACGUCUUGUUCUGCCUUUAAUGAUGGAAUAUUUGGUAGCAACAAUAAUGCUUCUUACCAGCUUUCCCCAAGAUGUGAACUCUGUACUGUGGCCAGUUUGCAUCUGGAGUAACUCCAUCCUUUACAGCCUUACUGAUACUGACUCUCCCUGGUGGCCAGAAACAAGAAUCUUCCUGUAAACCACUUGCAAGGAAUUAUGGAGACACCUCCACCAUCCAGAAAAUUAACAACUGAAAACUGAAAAAUAUUCUGCCCUGGCAGCUUUAUUUAAAUCCCUGAAAGUGGCAACAUCUCUCACAGAGCUCCAGUUUCUGAUACCUGCAUUAUUCUGUAGAGAAUCUGUCACCUUAAACAGUGCUGCCACAGUGCUGCCAUGAUGAAAACUGCAAGUAAAGACUAGUUUGAAAGCUUCUGUACAUGUAGUUUUUAUCUGAAGAGCAAGAAAUUGUUAAUCAUUAAAACAAAAGUAAGUGCUACAUAGCUGCUCGAAUGAAAUAGCACACGUAAAUCUUAUGUUUUGUUGACUUGGACUUUGUUGACAGUGUAGGGUCUGAAAUGUGGCAUUAAUUUGUCAUUAAUGUCAUGUCAUAACAAUAAAGUUGACAGAGUAUUUUUCUGAUGUCAGGUAAAUCUGCCACUGCCAGCCUGGGUGUCUGUGGAGAAUCGGGGAUUGGUGCAGGCAGGGUUAGGAGAGGUGUGCCCACAUGUUUGUGCCAUACUCUGUGUCCUUCUCGCACCUGGAAGUAAAUGUUGAUUAAUCAUCUGAUAGCACAGCAACUAUCUGGUAUUUUAGCAAAGUUAAACUCAAUGAUGUUCAAAGGAUGGCUGCAGGGCAAAGGACCGCAGCAGCCAGUAGCUCUGACGUCAGGUCAGAGCUACUUUACCAUGAAUAUGUAAGAUCAUGGCAUGAUUAGAUGUAGAGAUUAGAGUCUGUCAUUUUGUAAUCAAUGUCACUGAUGACAUUGAUGACAUUGACUGAUGGUGCAGUUGAUGGGAUGCCACAUCUGGAUUCUUCCACCUGGGAACCACAUAAAAUGGCAACAGAUGAUGUCUUGAAAGAAGAAGGAGAGGAGGAGGAGCCGGUACAAGCAGGACCAGAAGCCCAAACAGAAGAAAGCAUAGGCGCAGACAGGAACCUGUUCAUGUAUAUUACACUUGUUUAAAUUAUUUGUUUUACUUUCACUGAAGAGAUUUAUCUGUUACACACGGAGAAAAAAACCUCACUUCAGACCUUUGACAUUUCAAAGUUCUUUAUUCAAAAUUUGUUCACAAGUUUGUCAGACAGUGACAGAUAUCGCUCUGCCCUUAGAGUAGCUGCCCUUUCCCUCUCUUCCUCCCUAGCCAGAGCCUGGCUCUCUCUGUCUUCCUCUGUAGGAUAGCCUGGCUGUCCCUGGGCCUCUUCCUCUGGCUCUUCCUCGACUCUUCAGUAGAAGGGGACGAGGCCGGAGUGAUGACUGAACCACCUGUAGUGGAUGUCAGGUUUGCUGCAACUACCAGGGGUGGACCUGAUGAGUGCUGCCCCUGGAGCCCAGCAUCCAUCAGACUGUACCACUGCCAGGUGGAGGAAGUCGUGCUACCUACCGCUACCACCUUCCCUGUAGACUGAAUUAUGAUGUUGUGGAUCAACAGCUGCUAGCCAUGAAACUCACUCUGGAGCAAUGGAGGCACUGGCUGGAGAGGGCCGAACAUCCUUACACUCUGUGGAAGGACCACAGAAACCUCGACUACCUCUAGCAUGCAAAAUGACAAAAUGACACUCAGCAAGCCAGGUGGGCACUGAAUUUUUACAAAAUUCACUUUCCCUAUUACUUACAGACCUGGUUCCCAUGACAUCAAGGCCAAUGCACUGUCUCAACAAUUCUUCACCUCCUACGAAUUAAUUGUCCUGUCCAAUUAACCCCAAAAGGUUGAUUCUGUUCAUCUGGACGUAUCGUUUUCAAUGGGAGAAACGUUUCAUCACUCAUCCAAGUGACUUCUUCAGAGACUGGGAUUUACUAACCUGGAUGAUUGAACAUGCAUCGAGACAAGCGUACGAUUACAUUUAUCCAACAGCUGUUCGGGUGGCCAUCUCUAAUUAAGGAUAUAUAUAUAUUACUAACAAUUUUGUUACUAUAUCACCUUAAUUCUUUAAGAGUAAAUCUAUUUUAAGUAGGUUCAAAGGUGUGUUUAAAAAAAUAAAACAAAACAUUAUCAAACAAAUAAGAAUAACAGAUUUAACUGUUAACUGCAGCACAUGGAGUUUUCUGUAAAAAAAAAAAAAAAAAAAAAUAUAUAUAUAUAUUAUGAUUUGGUGGCUGUAAUCUUGGCUGCUUUUUGGUUAGUUCCCCGCACAGUUCCCUGUAGUGAUCUCAAACUUUUUUGUUCAGCAUCAUCUCAGUGGGUUCUGCCAUCUCCUGACUCUUGUAUGGUGCAGACUGCUUCACUGUACAACACAGAGCUAUAAUGUCUCUGCGCACAAUGUUAAGAAAAACAGAAGUCGCCGUGUACAUGAAUUGUUUUCUUUGUGUGCUCUGGGUAUCUGGCUUCUGGUAAAUGGGCUCUUUUUCUCCUGGACUUAAACUGCCAGAUCUAUCAUGAUAUCCUGAUAAACACUUUCAGGCCCUGCUACUACUUCCCCUCCAGGUCCUUAUCAAUUCCUCAUCUAAGUUUCCUGUUGUUGUUCUCUACCAUUUCUGCACACUUAAUGCUACAUAAGGAGGAAGCAAAGGGCUGUAUUGCAGAUAGAUAGCAUCAUGUUCACACCAUUGUGUCAGUAAAAACUCCUUGGGAGUGAGAUUCAGCUUUUAUGCUAAAUUCAAGAAAGACUCAAGUUCAAGUCACA